GACGAACGCUGGCGGCGUGCUUAACACAUGCAAGUCGAACGGAAAGGCCCUGCUUGCCGGGUACUCGAGUGGCGAACGGGUGAGUAACACGUGGGUGAUCUGCCCUGCACUUCGGGAUAAGCCUGGGAAACUGGGUCUAAUACCGGAUAGGAGCCAUUUUUAGUGUGAUGGUUGGAAAGUUUUUUCGGUGUAGGAUGAGCUCGCGGCCUAUCAGCUUGUUGGUGGGGUAAUGGCCUACCAAGGCGGCGACGGGUAGCCGGCCUGAGAGGGUGGACGGCCACCUUGGGACCGAGAUACGGCCCAGACUCCUACGGGAGGCAGCCGUGGGGAAUAUUGCACCAUGGGCCCAAGCCUGAUGCAGCGGCGCCGCGUGGGGGAUGACGGCCUUCGGGUUGUAAACCCCUUUCGCUAGGGACGAAGCUUUUGUGACGGUACCUAGAUAAGAAGCACCCGCCAACUACCUG
rnacentral:rRNA from 1 species